rnacentral:rRNA from 1 species
CCUGUAGGUGGUUGGCUAAGUCGGGUGUGAAAUCCACGGGCUUAACCUGUGACGGUCAUCCGAGACUGGUCGACUAGAGUUUGGUAGAGGAGAGCGGAAUUUCCGGUGUAGCGGUGAAAUGCGUAGAUAUCGGAAGGAACACCAGUGGCGAAGGCGGCUCUCUGGACUAAAACUGACACUGAGGGGCGAAAGCGUGGGGAGCAAACA